rnacentral:rRNA from 1 species
UACAGGGGGGGCAAGCGUUGUUCGGAAUUACUGGGCGUAAAGGGCGCGUAGGCGGUCAGCACAAGUCAGUUGUGAAAUCUCCGGGCUUAACUCGGAAAGGUCAACUGAUACUGUGCGACUAGAGUGCAGAAGGGGCAACUGGAAUUCUCGGUGUAGCGGUGAAAUGCGUAGAUAUGCGGAGGAACACCGAUGGCGAAGGCAAUCCCCUGGACCUGUACUGACGCUCAUGCACGAAAGCGUGGGGAGCAAACAGG